rnacentral:rRNA from 1 species
UCGUGUGUCCUCCUUUGGGCUCACGAGUUGUAGCCUCGAGAGGCGCUACCAGUGGAGAAGCAGGUCCAAGUUUCUUGGAACAGAACUUCAGAGAGGGUGACAGUCCCGUCCUUUGUCCUGCUUUGCUUUUCCACGUACGGUGCGCUUUUAUAGAGUCGCGUUCAUUGGGAUUUGAGCGCAAAAUGUGUGAUAAGUUUCACAUAAAGCUAAAUAUUGGCGCGAGACCGAUAGCAAACAAGUACUGUGAAGGAAAGAUGAAAAGGACUUUGGAAAGAGAGUUAAAAGUGCCUGAAAUUGCUGGAAGGGAAGCGAUUGAAACCUUCAUUUCCGUUGGGUGCCCCCGGGGUGUUUCUGUUGCCCUUCCCCUAUCUCCGUUAUUGGUAUUGGGGUUGGUUUCUUCUGUUCCCCCCGGUCGAUCCCUCCGGUUUGGUCAGCAUCGGCAGGGUUUUUCGAGUGUCCCUUCCUCUCGUGGGAGGCCAACCUACCACGAGAGGUUUUGUUCACUUCCCUGCCGAGGUGUGUUCCAGCGCGUUCGCCGGCUACACUUUCGAGUACUGGCGUUCCGGGAUGCUGCCCCUGACAGUUUCAACCGACCCGUCUUGAAACACGGACCAAGGAGUCUAACAUAUGUGCGAGUAUGCGGGUUGUAACCCUGUAUGCGCAAUGAAAGUGAGAGUAGGGAGAGGUUUUGGUUUCCAUUCCCUCGCACCUACGGCCGACCAUAAGCUCUGCGAGAGGUUUGAGUUGUAGCACAUCUGUUAGGACCCGAAAGAUGGUGAACUAUG